rnacentral:misc_RNA from 1 species
GAUGAAGAACGGAGCGAAAUGCGAUAAGUAGUGUGAAUUGCAGAAUUCAGUGAAUCAUCGAAUCUUUGAACGCACAUUGCGCCCUUUGGUAUUCCUUAGGGCAUGCCUGUUCGAGCGUCAUUUAAACCUUCAAGCUCAGCUUGGUGAUGGGCGACUGUCCUCCCCUCGCGGGGGGACUCGCCUCAAAAACAUUGGCGGCCGGUACAUUGGCUUCGAGCGCAGCAGAAACGCGGUCUCGAGCCCGGUGGAUCGGCUCCCAUAAGCCUAUUCUUUUAUUUUGACCUCGGAUCAGGUAGGGAUACCCGCUGAACUUAAGCAUAUCAAUAAGCGGAGGA